CACUUCCUGUUGGCUUGUACAGAUGUCCUGCUUGGGGUCUCUCUUGAUCUGUGCUGGUUGAAAGAGCUGAUUGCAGCAGGAGAUGGACCUGGUGUUCAGUAGAGUUACCCAGGAAGGAAAACCAUUACGUUGGACCAGGCUGAUAGCCACGGAGAAGAGCACUGGCCCAGACGCAAGGGAACUCAAACAAAGGCACGAACUCUUAAGGUGUUUGUGAGAAUUCAGUGAAACGAUGUGUGAAUAGCGCCUGGCUGGUAUGCAGUGCAUACCUAUUCACAUGUACUACCAAGAAAAGAGUUGAAACCUUUCAGGUAUGAUUUCAGGUGUCUAUCAGCGGAUGGAAGCAGUACAAAGGAGAAUGUUGGGGGCAUUCCAUGCAAUCCCCAGUUGAGUUCUUUUUAACGCCUCACUAGAAAAUCAGGCUUUAUCCAGAAACUCUAGCCUGCAUCAGAAGUUGAUAAACUAAUGUUGGUGAACCUACCAUCUGUUUUUAUAAAUAAA
rnacentral:lncRNA from 1 species